UACAGAGAGGGCAAGCGUUAUUCGGAAUUAUUGGGCGUAAAGGGCGCGUAGGCGGCCUGGCAAGUGGAAGGUGAAAUCCCUCGGCUUAACCGAGGAACUGCCCUCCAAACUGCUUGGCUUGAGUCCGGGAGAGGUGAGUGGAAUUCCCAGUGUAGCGGUGAAAUGCGUAGAUAUUGGGAGGAACACCAGUGGCGAAGGCGGCUCACUGGACCGGAACUGACGCUGAGGCGCGAAAGCGUGGGGAGCAAACGGG
rnacentral:rRNA from 1 species